rnacentral:rRNA from 1 species
GACGAACGCUGGCGGCGUGCUUAACACAUGCAAGUCGAACGGAAAGGCCUGCUUUCCCUUGUGGAUUGCGGGUACUCGAGUGGCGAACGGGUGAGUAACACGUGAGUGAUCUGCCCCCAACUUGGGUAUAAGCCUGGGAAACUGGGUCUAAUUCCCGAUAGGACUGCAGGGUGGUGCCUGUGGUGGGAAACGAUUUUCUAGUGGUUGGGGAUGAGCUCGCGGCCUAUCAGCUUGGUGGGGGGGUAAUGGCCUACCAAGGCGGCGACGGGUAGCCGGCCUGAGAGGGGGGACGGCCAGAUUGGGACUGGGAUACGGCCCAGACUCCUACGGGAGGCAGCAGUGGGGAAUAUUGCACAAUGGGCGGAAGCCUGAUGCAGCGACGCCGCGUGGGGGAUGACGGCCUUCGGGUUGUAAACUCCUUUCGACCGCGAGGAAGCCACCUGGUUGGAAGGGUGGUGACGGUAGUGGUAGAAGAAGCACCGGCUAACUACGUG